rnacentral:rRNA from 1 species
GAUGAACGCUGGCGGCGUGCCUAAUACAUGCAAGUCGAGCGAACGGACGAGAAGCUUGUUCUUCUGAUGUUAGCGGCGGACGGGCGAGUAACACGUGGAUCACCUACCUAUAAGACUGGGAUAACUUCGGGAAACAGGAGCUACUACCGGAUCAUAUUUUGAACCGCUUGGUUCAAAAGUGCUAGACGGUUUUGCUGUCACUUAUAGAUGGUUCCGCGCUGCAUUAGCUAGUUGGUAAGGUAACGGCUUACCAAGGCAACGAUGCAUAGCUGACCUGAGAGGAUGAUCAGCCACACUGGAACUGAGACACGGUCCAGACUCCUACGGGAGGCAGCAGUAGGGAAUCUUCCGCAAUGGGCGAAAGCCUGACGGAGCAACGCCGCGUGAGUGAUGAAGGUCUUCGGAUCGUAAAACUCUGUUAUUAGGGAAGAAAAGAUGUGUAUGUAACUGUGGACAUCUUGACGGUACUUAAUCAGAAAGCCACGGCUAACUACGUG